ensembl:lncRNA
AUAAGCCACGGGUAUACCAGGGAGUCCGCGUCAAGACCACGGUGAAGGAGCUGCUGCAGAGACACAGAGCCCGGGCAGCGGACGAUAAGGAUCUAGCGGUAUCCCAGGGCUGCAUGGACAUCCCCAGCCUCUGCGUCGGCCUGUCCUCCCUUCAGAGUAAGUAGACACACGGUGCAGCCCAUCCCACCAAGUCAGCCGUCGCAUCCAUUUGCACCAGGCGGCUGUGUAUUGAGAGUCUCGGACUGAAAAGCUUACCAAGUGCAAAUCCGGUUGUUUUGCAGACGAUAGGAAGACGGGUGUGGGCGUUGUAGCCGUGACAUCAAGUUACCAGGGUAGUCCAAAAGAAAGUGCAUAUAUCUGCAGAUGAUAUGAAGUCUGCCCUCAUCCAUCAUCCCACAAUGAAAUCACUUAUUCGAAAGAGAAUUUCGGCCCUACAAUAAGUCUGAGCUGUAUUGCCAAGAAUGUGAAUGAAUUCUAGUUAACAAUUGAUAGGCACGUUCCCAAGUGCUGCGUAAUAGGUCCUUUUUUAUAAACAUGCACCCAAAUGCGUUGGCUGAUGGCAGAGUGACAUCACUUGUAUGCUCUUAACAUAUUUAAAUAUAUUCUUUUGUUUGUGAUUACACGCUCAUCUUGUUUUGCAUUUGCCUUACGGCAGACCACUACGUCGAUACCUCGGUUCUGCAGGCGGACGCCGAGUACAGCGUCCAGCUGACGGGGAGCGACGGGUACUACCAGCAGCACCAGUACGUGGACGGCGUGGUUCUGCCCACCGCCGAUCGAUACGGCGCGGAUAUCGGCGGCCAUCUCCCCCUUCUGACCCCCUCCACCUUCCCUCUGCCCGGCGCCCAGCUCUCUCCGGAGGCAGACUAUUAUAACGGAAUGGCUUCGUCCUCGUCUCCAGACUCAUUCCAGAUCUCCAGCCCAGUGGAGCACAACAGUUACUCGCCGCAGCAUUCCUCUUACUCGUCCUCCUCUUCCUCCUCUUACGACUCGCCGACCCGAGUGGAGCCCGGGUACCAGGGGUUCCCCGCCCUGGACCACUCUAACUACCAGCACUGCAGCUUUGCAGACUGCUACUGCCAGAUGCAGGCGCACUGCUGGCCGGCCCCGCAGGAGAGCCUUUGGGCGGCCGCGGAGUCCGCUUCCUACUACGGCCCCGCUGGCCCCGCCACCGGCACCACAGACUACCCCUACCCCGCAGAACAACACUGUCUGAAGAGGGGCUGGCCCAUGAGUUCAGACAUGUGCUACAAUAUACUCUGAUGAUGUGGAUCUUGAUGAUGUCUGUAAAUACAAUGCACUGCACGUGUUGUGGAAGAGCAGAAGACUGUGUCUGCAUAUUACCUGGUGUUCGACAGCUUUUUUCUACCAAAGUGUGGACUGACACAGUGAUGUGGGAACGUAAACGCCGUUUUUAUUUUUGUAUUACUGGAAAAUAAAACAUAUUUUUUAUACAGAUCCAAAGUUGUGUUAAUAUUUAAAAUCUGCAAACCAGCAUUUAUUUGAACAUAAAAUAUUUCAGAAGGCAAGCAAUAUUUUUUUCAAAAGUCCAUAGUCUAGCUUACUAUUAGGUAGUUCCUAUAUUUCCAUCCCUUUUCAAGAAGAAAAUAUAUUUUGGCUUUGUCUACUAACUAAUGAGAUGCAAUGGUUUAUUUGAUCAUAAACUCUCAGCCCCUCUUUUAUAGUGGGAACAGUUGGCUGAUAUCCCAUCUGCCAAACCGUCCGGUUCUUAAAUCAACACAGAUUAUCACCUCCAGCUGCCUGGACCUCGUCUUAUACUUUCUACAGUUGGACUCGACGGGGUCUAUCAAUUAUUUCCCUCUAGAACAAUCAAAAAAAAUAAAAAACGAAUUGUGGUUGAUUUGUGAUUUUAAUUUUUACAACCUGAAAAAAGUUAUAAUAAAAAAUAGGUCUGGGCCCUGCCCUGCUUCAAGAAGCAGCUAAGAAUAUCAUUAUAUACUCUAAUAUAUAGGCCUGGGCCCUGCCCUGCUUCAGGUAGCAGCUAAGAAUAUCAUUAUAUACUCAUAUACUCAGCAUAUUAAUGGCUAUAUAUAUUUAAAUAUUAUAUAUAGGCUAUUUACCGGUAAUAUGAUAUAGGCCUAAUACAACAAACUUAUCUAUGAAAGUCGAUGAGAACUGUAAACGUUAUCGGAUUUUUUAUCCAGAAAAACCGCAGCUCCCCUGUUUACUUGACUGGUUUUGCAAACCAGUCUUUGCCUCAGCGGGUCGAAGCUCAGUGCGACGUCUCUGUACAUGUGUCUAGGCACAUGUACGCUGGACCUUUAUAGAAAGAGCCGUUUCUAGGUUCAGCGUGCAGCAUUUAAGCAUCUAGCGGUAAGGUUGCAUAUUGCAACCAAGUGAUUACCCUCACUCCUCGAUUGAAAAAAGAGUAGGCCUACCUGUACCGGAAUAUGUUAUGCGAUUAAUCAGCCUAACCAAUCACGUUCGGGUAUCUUUGUCAUAGUCACCACGGAGACUGUACAUGUUUUUAUCCUAUUUACGUUUCACAACGUAGUGUUCUUAUAUUAUUGCAUGCAUAGUGGACACAACAUUCAUAAACCUGUAAUUAUCACUAUCUGUCAGAUGCAUUGAUCCUUCAUCUCGAUAGACCUCGAUAGAAGCCAAUGUUUCCCUGUUACUGCGGUGCGUGAAUAUAGGUUACUCUUGCAUUAGGGUUUGCAGUAUUAUGAAUGUUUCCAUUUGGAUACCAUCUUUCACAGAGAGUGAUACUACUUUUAGUUAUCAAUAGGGAAGCAUCCUAAAAAACUAAAAUCUCCAAAACAUGGAGAUAUUAAAGCGGACAUAUUAUUACUAAUGGCUUAUUCCUGGCCCUUCCACUUGUUCCACGUGUUAACCAUGAGAAAAUAAACAUCUGAUAUCUGGAAGUCCCCUGUCUUUCUAGAGUUUUGUUCCAAACAGGUUUAUUAGAACAGGCCUUCUUGAAAAGCGAUUUUAAAUGAG